rnacentral:lncRNA from 1 species
CAAGCGGAGGAUGAAAAAUCAGAGUAAUGGCCGAGGAGACGGUAUCCACUUGACUUUUCUUGCCCACGGCGUGAGUGAUUAAUCUAGCGAAGGCACUGCAGCGGAGUGAGACCACAAGGUUACACAGCCCAAAGCCUACGUGCUCCAGGAGCUGGAGGAUGCUGCUGGACCGGCAGCCGCAAGGUGCGUUCCUCCUCCCCUCGCCCUGCUCUGCCUUUGAUCUGCUUCCAGGAGGGGAAUUUUGUUCCCCGUUCCGAGCUGCUUCAACCCAGGCUGGCGGAGCAGCAGGAGCCCUGCUGUAACUAAUGAGAUGUUUGCUGCUCGCUGUCUGACACCGCGGUAGGUACUCUGUGCUGUCUGAGACCCGUGAUGAUAAACCAAGCCUCCCGGAGAUGGAGUGGCUUCCCAGUGAUACGGGACUGUUGUCCGCUCACUCUUAUCCGAUAGGAUCUCUCCUUCGAGCUCUCCUUAAGCCUCCUCUGUAGCGUAUCGAGCCACUGAGGUCUGAUCCCGCUCAGAAGCAGUGUAAACUGAGAGCAGAUGUGCCUGCCAGCAGUCUGCUUCGGGGGCAGAGCGGCACCGGGGCCCGCGGUAGGGCUGCUGGACAUUCAUGGAGAGCGUCUGCACUUUGCACUGUGGCUCUGGCAGGUGCUGGAGGGACUUUCCUACAGACAAAUGUGAUUCCCCUCCUCGCUGCCCAAGGGCUGAGAACCCCCUGUGCAGAGCCAGCACUGCCCCUCCUCUGCCCGUAGCUGAUGCCAAAGGAUCUUGGGCUGUUUCCUCGGAUCCUGAACUACUGAUGCCUCCUUCGCGCCCUGCUCACCCCGUGACACCUGCUGCUGUCCCCGUGCCAGCGAGGGGAGAUUCCCAACCAAACCCCCACGUCGUGCCGUUAGUUUACUGGAGGAAGCAAAGAGGAUUUUCAGCCCUCCCAUCUAGCAGUGGGUCGGAUGGCAGGUCCGUGUGCCCGCCUCUGGCCACGGCAGAAACCGCCCCCAUCCUUGAGCCUGUAUCAUCUCUGCUUGGAGUGGCACAAAGAGAUGCAGUGGCUCUGCUGCCUUUCAGCAGCUGUACCUGGACACAGGCUCCUAGUUUCAAGCAGGAAGAAACAAUUCCUGCUCAGCUGUUUGAAGAACUGGACCAAACAUCUUCCUCUCCCGUGCUGACCUUUGUGGUGAGGUUGUGCAUGGAGAAAUGUGCCGAAAAGCCCCGUUGCCAUGAGAACCGAGGCCAAGAGAGGACCGGCGUGCUUCUGCUAAUUGCUGCAGCUCCUUCACCUGGCCGCAAACCCCACUGCACGAAGCCAGCCCUGUGGUGCUCCGGCCCCAUCCUGCCCCGCAGCCCAGGUCUGGACGUCUCCCGAGCACCCAAGGUUGCCGUGGCUCUGUCCCCAAGGAGGUGA